rnacentral:rRNA from 1 species
UACAGAGGUCUCAAGCGUUGUUCGGAUUCAUUGGGCGUAAAGGGCGCGUAGGCGGCCAUGCGUGUCUUCCGUGAAAUCCCUCGGCUUAACUGGGGAACUGCGUCUGAUACUGGAUGGCUUGGAUUCGGGAGAGGAAUGCGGAAUUCCAGGUGUAGCGGUGAAAUGCGUAGAUAUCUGGAGGAACACCGGUGGCGAAGGCGGCAUUCUGGACAGACAUUGACGCUGAGGAGCGAAAGCCAGGGGAGCAAACGGG